rnacentral:pre_miRNA from 1 species
GUUGAGGGGAAUGUUGUCUGGCUCGAGGCCGGCGGAGAUCGAGCAGAUCGCCUUUUUUCUGUAGAGAUCUCGGACCAGGCUUCAUUCCCCUCAGC